ensembl:snRNA U6 U6 spliceosomal RNA
UUAUACUCGAGUAUAUAUGGUAUAUUAAAUUGGAAUGAUACAGAGAAGAUUACCAUGACCUUUGGGGAAGGAUGACAUGCACAUUUGUGAAAUGCCCAUAUGCAAU